rnacentral:rRNA from 1 species
CAGUAGCCGCGGUAAUACGUAGGUGGCAAGCGUUGUCCGGAAUUAUUGGGCGUAAAGGGCUCGCAGGCGGUUUCUUAAGUCUGAUGUGAAAGCCCCCGGCUCAACCGGGGAGGGUCAUUGGAAACUGGGAAACUUGAGUGCGGAAGAGGAGAGUGGAAUUCCACGUGUAGCGGUGAAAUGCGUAGAGAUGUGGAGGAACACCAGUGGCGAAGGCGACUCUCUGGUCUGUAACUGACGCUGAGGAGCGAAAGCGUGGGGAGCGAACAGGAUUAGAUACCCCCGUAGUCCCUGUCUCUUAUAC